rnacentral:rRNA from 1 species
UACGUAGGUGGCAAGCGUUGUUCGGAAUUAUUGGGCGUAAAGAGCGUGUAGGCGGUCCGGUAAGUCAGCUGUGAAAGUCAAGGGCUCAACCCUUGAAAGCCGGUUGAUACUGUCGGGCUAGAGUCCGGAAGAGGCGAGUGGAAUUCCCGGUGUAGCGGUGAAAUGCGCAGAUAUCGGGAGGAACACCAAUGGCGAAGGCAGCUCGCUGGGGACGGUACUGACGCUGAGGCGCGAAAGCUAGGGGAGCAAACAGGG